rnacentral:rRNA from 1 species
CCUACGGGAGACAGCAGUGAGGAAUAUUGGUCAAUGGACGAGAGUCUGAACCAGCCAAGUAGCGUGAAGGAUGACUGCCCUAUGGGUUGUAAACUUCUUUUAUAUGGGAAUAAAACGUUCCACGUGUGGGAUUUUGUAUGUACCAUAUGAAUAAGGAUAGGCUAACUCCGUGCCAGCAGCCGCGGUAAUACGGAGGAUCCGAGCGUUAUCCGGAUUUAUUGGGUUUAAAGGGAGCGUAGGUGGAUUGUUAAGUCAGUUGUGAAAGUUUGCGGCUCAACCGUAAAAUUGCAGUUGAAACUGGCAGUCUUGAGUACAGUAGAGUUGGGCGGAAUUCGGGGUGUAGCGGUGAAAUGCUUAGAUAUCACGAAGAACUCCGAUUGCGAAGGCAGUUCACUGGACUGCAACUGACACUGAGGCUCGAAAGUGUGGGUAUCAAACAGGAUUAGAUACCCCAGUAGUC